rnacentral:rRNA from 1 species
GAUGAACGCUGGCGGCGUGCCUAAUACAUGCAAGUCGAGCGAACAGACGCUGCUCUUGCUCCUUUGACGUUAGCGGCGGACGUGUGUGUCACACGUGUGUCCCCUCCCUAUCUUACUGGGAUAACUUCGGGAAACCGGCGCUAAUCCCGGAUAAUAUUUCGAUCCGCAUGGUUCGAUGGUGAAAGACGGCUUUGCUAUCACUUCUCGCUGGACCUGGGCCGUUUUGGCUAGUUGGGAGGUUCACGGCUUUCCACGGCAAGGAGUCGUAGCCGACGUGAUAGGGGGGUAGGCGACACUGGAGCUGGAACACGGUCCAGGCGCCUACGGUAGGCAGCAGUAGGGAAUCGUACGCAAUGGGCGAAAGCCUGACGGAGUAACGCCGAGCGAGUGAUGAAGGCCUUCGGAUCGGAAAACUCUGUUAUGAGGGAAAAAUAAACUUGUAAGUAACUGAGCACGGCUUGACGGUACUUAAUCAGGAAGCAACGGCUAACUACGUG